AACGAACGCUGGCGGCAUGCCUAACACAUGCAAGUCGAACGAGACCUUCGGGUCUAGUGGCGCACGGGCGCGUAACGCGUGGGAACCUGCCCUUAGGUUCGGAAUAACUCCCCGAAAGGGGUGCUAAUACCGGAUAAUGUCUUCGGACCAAAGAUUUAUCGCCUUUGGAUGGGCCCGCGUUGGAUUAGCUAGUUGGUAGGGUAAAAGCCUACCAAGGCGACGAUCCAUAGCUGGUCUGAGAGGAUGAUCAGCCACACUGGGACUGAGACACGGCCCAGACUCCUACGGGAGGCAGCAGUGGGGAAUAUUGGACAAUGGGCGAAAGCCUGAUCCAGCAAUGCCGCGUGAGUGAUGAAGGCCUUAGGGUUGUAAAGCUCUUUUACCCGGGAUGAUAAUGACAGUACCGGGAGAAUAAGCUCCGGCUAACUCCGC
rnacentral:rRNA from 1 species